CUGGCCUCGUGCUACUUCAAUAUCCAAAUCUGAUGAAUGACCUUUUUGCUCUAGAGGGAGCCUUUCUUAUUCUGGAGAAAGAAGCCUCAUAGCCUAGGGCUGGUGUGAAUGACUGCAAAGGUAGUUGCCUUUUGGAGAAGCCACCCGGCCCCAUUCUUGGUCCGGUGAUGUGAGUGGGGCUGAUCUCGUUUUUGGCUCCAGGGCAGAAAGCCUCCAGGCCUGGGCAACAAGCACGCCACAUUCUCUGGUCGCGGUGGCUGGUCAGAGGCAAGCAAGGCCCUUCAGAAGGCAGCUCUAGACUCUUUCUGGAGCUUUUAGGAAGGGGGUGUGUCCUUUCCACAGCGGAUGCUGAGCUGAAGGGAAGCCUGGAACAGGCAGCAGCCACUUGAGAAUGAAGACAACCCAAAAGGAAGUGGAGCCAAAGCCUAGAAAGAGAGGCAUUCCCCUUAAGACACAGCUAGAAACCUGAAUGUGUAAAGAAACAGGUCAUGUGUAAAGGCAGCUCAAAGAUCUCAAUGACAGGAGCCCAUCAAGUCUCUCUUUGUUUAAGCUAGUUGAAGUUCUGAACCCUGAUGUUUCUAAUAGUGUUAUGUGGUUAGGAGUCACCUAAAUUGGAUUAUCUGAUGACUGAUUUUGUUGAAGUUCAACACUAUGGGGCACGAUCCAGUACUUUCAAGAGAAGGCACGUUAGUACCCAAACGGCAUUGAUCUUACAAUUAAAACCGGGGAGAAAAUGUGAGUCCCUUUCUCCCAGAGGAUGUUCCUGCUGAGAGCUACUACUUCGGUUCUUUUUACUUCACAAAUCCUAACCCUUGUACAUCAGUAUAUUGCUUUCUCAGGCUUCAUCUCAUGCAGCUAUGGAGAUCCAGGGAAAGGGAAUGACUGGCGGCAGGGCACAUGUCGGCUGGUGGCCAGGCGGGGAUGAUAACUCUGGCCCUGAGCGCUGUGUGCUUUCUGAAGCAUGCUGCUUCAAGCUUUAUCAAUGUGGCCUCUUGUUUCUUGGUGGACAGAUGUACUUUUCUGCCCGUUGGUAACUCAUGGAAUACAACAGAUGGUAGGUGAAUACCAGAGAGCAUCCUGAAGGAUUUUCUAGGGGAACAACAUGAACUAGAUUAUGCUUCUCUGGCCUCAUUUCAACAACAUCCUCAGAAUCUUGUCUAUUAUUGAUGCCUUGAGGACCAUAUGUUGCCUAUGAGGAUAUGUCCCGAUGUAGCAUACUCUAGUUGCACAACAUGGGACAAAAUAAUAAUACAAUAAAAUGGUGCUAGAACAACUGGAUAUCAGUAUGAAUUUAAAAAUGGGCAAAUGAUUUGAACAACCAUUUUAUAAAGAAAUUUAUGAAUGGUUAAACAUGCAAAGAUACUCAACACCGCUAGUCGUUAAGGAACUAUAAUUCAAACUACAAUGAGAUAGUGGUUUGAUUUAUAGUAGAAUGGCAAAAAUUACUCAGUAGAAUGGCACAAUUAAAAAGAUUGACAACACUCAGUGUUGGUGAGGAUGUGGGACUCUCCUACCUUGCUGGUGGAAAUCCAAAGGGAUACAGCCACUUUGGAGAAGAGUUUGACAGAGUUUUAUAAAGUGUCCUAAGUAUUUUCCCAAGAUAAAUUAAAAUAUUUAAUUUUAAUUGUUUACAUACAAAUACUUGUAUGCAGAUGUUCAUAGCAACAUUUUUUUGUAACAGCUAACAACUGGAAACAGUGCAAAUGUUCAUCAGUCACAAACAAAUUAUGGUAAAUCCAUGCUCAGCAAUAAAAAGGAUUUAAAUAUUAAUACAUACAAUAAGGUAAAUGAAUUUUAAAAUAACUUUGC